GCCAAUGAUGAUUUGAUCCAUGUUACUGAGGUGCAGAGGAACCAAGAAGAACCUACUUGGGGAAGCUGCAUUUCACAUGAAAUUAAUGGAUCUCACUGAGGU